rnacentral:tRNA from 1 species
UGCGGUGGUGCUCAGUGGUAGGGUGCUUGCCUAGAGUGCACAAGACUCUGGGUUCUACUCCCAGCACCGCAA